rnacentral:rRNA from 1 species
UACGUAGGGUGCGAGCGUUAAUCGGAAUUACUGGGCGUAAAGCGUGCGCAGGCGGUUUUCUAAGACCGAUGUGAAAUCCCCGGGCUCAACCUGGGAACUGCAUUGGUGACUGGCAGGCUAGAGUAUGGCAGAGGGGGGUAGAAUUCCACGUGUAGCAGUGAAAUGCGUAGAGAUGUGGAGGAAUACCGAUGGCGAAGGCAGCCCCCUGGGCCAAUACUGACGCUCAUGCACGAAAGCGUGGGGAGCAAACAGG